rnacentral:rRNA from 1 species
CAGUAGCCACGGUAAUACGUAGGGUGCGAGCGUUAAUCGGAAUUACUGGGCGUAAAGCGUGCGUAGGCGGUGAUGUAAGACAGAUGUGAAAUCCCCGGGCUCAACCUGGGAACUGCAUUAGUGACUGCAUCGCUGGAGUGCGGCAGAGGGGGAUGGAAUUCCGCGUGUAGCAGUGAAAUGCGUAGAUAUGCGGAGGAACACCGAUGGCGAAGGCAAUCCCCUGGGCCUGCACUGACGCUCAUGCACGAAAGCGUGGGGAGCAAACAGGAUUAGAUACCCCAGUAGUCCCUGUCUCUUAUAC